AUGAAAAUGCUUGACCAGAUCAAGAGUGCUGAGGUCACCGGCGAUGAGACCGGAAGCACGACGCCUCCUGCUCUGACGGUCGGCGAAGCGAACGCCAUGGCUGGCCAUUCCCGUGCCGUGCUGUGGGCGGCGGCGGCCAUCUUGCCCUCCGUGUACAUUGGCGGCACGUCGGCCUGGGCGUACGCCCUCUACACCCACACUUCCUUCGGCGCCAGCCACCCAUGGCGCCUGCCGGCGAUGGUGCUGUGGGGGGCCUACAUGGCGCUGGUCGCGGCGGCGGCGGCGGCGCACAUGAGCCUGUUCCUGCCGGACGCGCCCGUCGCGCUGCAGGUGGCGCUCGUCGACGUCGGCUGGGUCUGGGUCGGCAUGCCCGUCAUGGUGGUGAACCAGGCUCUGGCGUACUUUGGGUCGGCGUGGACGGCCGUCGCCAUAAAUUGUGUUCUUGGCGUCCUCGUUGCCGGCGUGCUUGGCUUCUGGGUGUGGCUUGUUCGGACGUAUGGGAGGAAAUAG
rnacentral:rRNA from 1 species